rnacentral:lncRNA from 1 species
UGAAAAUUUAUAUCCUUGGUUUAUAUCAGCAAUGUCUUUGACAAUUUCGAAAAUAAGUUCUGUCAAAUACUUUUAAUGAGUUAUGACCCUUUGAAAUAUAAAUUUUACUGGAAAUCACAUUGCAAUUGCUCUGAAGCCUUCAAUUCCCCGUAGAUAUUAAUAAAAGGUCUUAUAAAACAAAAACAAGUGCUUUUGGUGUAAAGAUUGCAUGAAAUGCAUUCAAAAC